rnacentral:misc_RNA from 1 species
CAGCGGCUCCCACUGGCUGCUCUGGACGCGGCCCUCGAGCGCUACUUCGCGGAACACCACAACCCAACGCUGCCCUACCACCAACUGCCGCACUUUAAGUUGAUACUGGUCGCCUCCCAACUGGUGGCGGGCGGUGCCGGUGCCGCGGACAGUGCGAGCGAUAGCGAAAAGCGCGCUCUGUGCGUGUCGCAGUGGGCGCGGGUCACGGCCGCGCCCGCACUCGCGCCGCACGUCGCGGGCCACACGCAACACUUGCUCCAC